rnacentral:rRNA from 1 species
CAGCAGCCGCGGUAAGACAGAGGUCCCGAGCGUUGUUCGGAUUCAUUGGGCGUAAAGGGUGUGUAGGAGGCCAGGUAAGUCAGGUGUGAAAUCUCAGAGCUUAACUCUGAAACUGCGCUUGAUACUGCUUGGCUAGAGGAUCGGAGGGGGUAACGGAACUUAUGGUGUAGCAGUGAAAUGCGUAGAUAUCAUAAGGAACACCGGUGGCGAAGGCGGUUACCUGGAAGAUUCCUGACUCUGAAACACGAAAGCCAGGGGAGCAAACGGGAUUAGAUACCCGCGUAGUCCCUGUCUCUUAUAC